rnacentral:rRNA from 1 species
UGGCGAACGGGUGAGUAACACGUAGGAACCUGACGUUUGGUGGGGGAUAACGCUGGGAAACCGGCGCUAAUACCGCAUACGGUCCCUAGAAAGGGGGAGCAAAGCAGCAAUGCACCAGAUGAGGGGCCUGUGGCCGAUUAGCUAGUUGGUGAGGUAAAGGCCUACCAAGCCUAUGACGGGUAACUGGUCUGAGAGGAUGAUCAGUCAGAUCGGGACUGAGACACGGCCCGA